UCAAUUCGUCUCGUUAAGGUCUCGAGUCAAGCCAGACUGAACCAAGUUUUGACCAAAUCGAGUUGGAACUGUUCACCCUUACCUGGGGUCCCUCAGCUUCCGGAAGGAAAAAACAAUACUUCUCUCUGUUGAAAAUCGGCCAUAAUCCAGUGAACUUCCAUUGUUGUUAGUUUAAGGUCGAGACUGCUAAAUUCUCUACUCUUCACUUAUCUAAAAGACGCAAAAAUGUCGUCGAUUUCAUGCACAAAGCUCACAAUCUGGACAAUUUCUGCAAUGGCGUUGCAAUUAGCAGGUCUAUCUCUUUUCGUCCUCGGUUUCUUCCCCGUCAAACCUGCUCUUUCCGGCGUCAGUGGUCCUGAGAGUUAUCAACCUCCUGGAAACGACACCGUUGAAGAUUUCAAUGUUUCCUCAAUGUCAUCUGAUGUGAUUCGAUCUCGUUUUCUGGAGCUCUCUCAAGUCCCUCCAUCGUAUGGCCGAUUAAUACUCAUGGUUGUUGACGGUCUUCCAGCGGAAUUUGUGCUCGGGAAGGACAAAAAUCCUCCUAUUCAAGCUUUUGUCGAUGCUAUGCCCUACACACAUUCGUUGCUUGCAAACGGAAUGGCCCUUGGGUAUCAUUCCAGGGCUGCACCACCAACUGUGACUAUGCCUCGUUUGAAGGCUAUGGUUUCUGGUGCCAUUGGGGGAUUCUUGGAUGUAGCAUUCAACUUUAAUACACAAGCUUUUUUAGAUGACAAUCUUCUAGGUCAGUUUUUUAGAAUUGGAUGGAACAUGACUAUGUUUGGUGAUGAAACUUGGCUGAAGUUGUUCCCAAAGUUAUUUACUAGGCAAGAUGGAGUUAGUAGCUUCUUUGUGAAGGACACCAUUGAAGUGGAUCUCAAUGUGUCUCAGCAUUUGCCUGGAGAACUUAAUCGGGAUGACUGGCAUCUAAUGAUCCUUCAUUAUCUAGGAGUGGAUCAUGUCGGGCAUAUUGGUGGACGGAAAAGCGUCUUGAUGCCCCAAAAACUUAGGGAGAUGGAUGAUGUGAUCAAGAUGGUUCAUUUGAAUGGUAUUCUUUCCAGCAACAGCAAGCAAGGAGAUACCCUUCUGCUUGUGGUCAGUGAUCAUGGUAUGACUGAGAGUGGUAAUCACGGUGGCUCUUCAUAUGAAGAAACUGAUUCUUUGGCUUUAUUUAUUGGUCCCGGUCCAGAAGUGGUUAGAGGUGACAUGGCAGCAAUUCAAGGCACUAUUAAUCAGGUUGACAUUGCUCCAACCUUAGCUCUCCUUUUCGGUGUGCCAAUUCCCAAGAACAAUGUGGGAGUUGUUACUGUGGAGGCUUUGCCGUCUUUAGCAGAUGGCCGACUGCUGAGAGCACUUGAAUUGAAUUCAUGGCAACUACUGAGGUUACUUGAAGCCCAAUUGCCUGGUCUUUCUAGUGUGAUUUCAGCUUCUGGUUACCCUGAUGAUAGCAGAUGGUCCGAAGUGAGUCAAUGCAGUGGUACAGUUGAAGAGAUGUUUUGUUGCCUAUACUCUAAAGCUCUUUAUCUUCACAGUUUUUGGAAGUCUACUGCUUCAAGUUCCAAUGCUGCCCAUGACUACAAUCAUACUGUCUCUGCAUAUCACGACUUUUUGAUGACUGCAAGUGAGUGGCUAACUCGCAAAGUCACCGAUAAACCUUUGGCUCAACUUGCUUGUGGUAUUCUGGCGAUGGUUCUUUCUUCUCUAGUAUUUCUGAGACUUCUGUUCUGUUUGCGAAGAGACGAAUUCCUUAAAGUGGGUCAAGGGUCUGUUGACAUGAAGAAUAAUAUGCACAACUGGAGUCUGGAGGAAACUUUUAUUGUGGCUGUGAUUGUCAUCCUUGUUAUGAGCAUGGGAUCUAGUUCUAUGAUAGAAGAAGAGCAAUAUAUUUGGCAUUUUCUGACAUCAACAUUAAUCUUGAUUCUAUUCCAUAAAACGAUAAAGUCCCUCCUUCUAGAAGGACGAGACAGACUUAAUAAAAGCAAUAAUAAUUCAAGGUUUUCACAAGUGUGUUCAAUUCUUGUGAUGUUCAUUUGUGGAAGGAUCUUAAGAGCCUGGCAUCAAGGUGGUGUGAACUGGACGCAUCUUCCUGACAUUUCAAAAUGGCUUGAGCAGGCAGGAAGCAAUCAGAUAAAAACAAUCCGAGUGGCAUCAGGAAUCCUAGUGACCAGCUUGAGCUUAUAUGCAUUUUCUAGGUCAAGGUUGAAUAGAUUUUUCAGCAAACUCCUCCAGUUCUUCUUCCUACUAUCAGGAUACUUCGUUUUGCAUCAUAUCAUGAUAUAUCAGGAUAAUGUAUUGCUAGUAUCUGGUCAUGGCGCAACCUAUAUGGCUCAAAUUAUCUAUGCUGUUCUUAGCAUCGCAACUGGUUUUACUGUAUUAGCCUCGCCGUGGCUUUCUCCUGUCUCUAUAUAUAAAGAUUCAACAUCUAAUAGUCAAUUAGCAAGUUCUAAGGCAGUUAAGAAUCAGAUAAACCAUCUGUCAAGUGGGCUCAAAGAGUCUUUCUAUCUGACUGGUUGGGCAUACAUGAUAUCCUGGUCUCUCCUGCAGCUUUUGUUGCAGCAACCAAUUAACUCGAUGCCAGUCUUUUUGCUUCUGCUGCAGAUUUCUGCGGCUAUGAUGUACUUUUCCUGUGAUGGAACGUGUCGAAAGCCAUGGGUUGAGGUUGCAUCAUUGUAUUUUAUUGGGAUGGCUGGCCAUUUUGGUUUUGGCAAUAGCAACACGCUUGCCACCGUUGAUGUUGCUGGAGCUUUCAUUGGUAUCUCAAGUCAUUCAACCUUUCUUUCUGGUAUACUGAUGUUCUGCAUCACUUAUGCGUCACCUAUGUUGGUGCUUCUUUCUUUGAUGAUGCACAUCUCUUUGAAGGAUGGGUGCUAUGAUGAACUUGACCAUACCAUGAAUCUUGGGCUGCUGCUGAAGUCCAUGCUUGCUAUUCCAUUUCUUGUUCCACUGAGCAUAAAUUCUGUUCUCUUAGUUGCAUAUACUAUAAUAUUGCUCCAGAUGAGGAACCAUUUGUUUAUUUGGAGUGUCUUCUCUCCCAAGUACCUGUAUGUAUGCGCAACAACAGCUUGUGUAUACAUUGGUGUAUUUGUUGUGGCUGCAACCGUGCUUUACAUAUCAUUGGUGUAUACAUUGCGUACAAAGUGGAUGGCGUCUAUGAGAAAUAGCAUAAAGAAGGCCGUCAUUGACUAAUAAUUUCAUCUCAAUGGUUUCUUCAGUCCUCCUGAAGAUCCAAUCAUGUGCUCAACCGGUAACUCCGACUGCACCAUCACCAAUUCCUAUGGGAUGUUUCCUGAUCGAACCACUGGCUGGGUGGCUGAAGCCACGUAUCCGACCUCUGAGGACGAGCUCAUAGUAGUGGUUGCUGCUGCAACCAAAAACAACAGAAAGAUGAAGGCAGGUCGGGCGAAUUUCACCCAGGCACUUUAAGUCGGGCGCGCAAACAGCUUUGGAAAAGUGAAAUCCCACUCGGUCGGGCGAAUUUUGACCGGGCAGCCCGGGCAGUUCGGUGUUUAGUCUGGAAAACGCGUUUUUGAUGCGGGAGUAUAAUAAAAGCCCUAAUACGUCUUUUAUUGUAACCCUAAAUUCAUUAUUCAUCAUUAUUCACAGAUUAGAGAGAGAAAAAGGCUAUAGAGAGAGUUCCUGAGCGUUUUUGCAAUUUUUCUUGAAUAUUCAUCGUUCCUAGUGCAUAUUCGUGGUUUUUCUCCUAGUUCUUGGGUUUCCACGUAAAAGUUCUUGUGUGUUUUUUCUUACUUUGUUAUUUGUUGUUCUAUUAUUGUUUGCUAUUAUUUCUA